rnacentral:rRNA from 1 species
UACGUAGGCGGACUAAUAAGUCAGUGGUGAAAUCUCUCGGCUCAACCGGGAAACUGCCAUUGAUACUGUUAGUCUUGAGUUCGGUUGAGGUAGGCGGAAUGUGUAAUGUAGCGGUGAAAUGCUUAGAUAUUACACAGAACACCAAUUGCGUAGGCAGCUUACUAGACCGACACUGACGCUGAGGCACGAAAGCGUGGGGAGCGAACAGGAUUAGAUACCCUGGUAGUC